rnacentral:rRNA from 1 species
CACAAGGUGAAUGCCUUGGCGCUAGGGGGCGAUGAAGGACGCAGCAAGCUGCGAUAAGCCACGGGAAGCCGCAAGCAGGCCGUGAUCCGUGGAUCUCCGAAUGGGGCAACCCGGUUCCGUUAAUACGGAAUCACCGCCGGAUGAAUGAAUAGUCCGUCGGAGCGAGACGGGGUGAAGUGAAACAUCUCAGUAACCCCAGGAAAAGAAAACGAGUGUGAUUCCGCAAGUAGUGGCGAGCGAAAGCGGAACAGCCUAAACCUCGGCAACUUGUUGCCGGGGGUUGCGGGACCUCGAUAUGGUACGUGAAAGAUUAGUGUAACGGCCUGGAAGGGCCGGCCAUAGACCGUGAUAGCCGGGUGCACGAAAAUUCGACACGACCUAGAGGUAUCCCAAGUAGUGCGGUGCACGUGAAACUCCGCGCGAAUCCGUCCCGACCACGGGAUAAGGCUAAAUACCACCUAGCGACCGAUAGUGAACUAGUACCGCGAGG